AGACAGAGGGCUCAGUGGUUAAGAGCGCUGACUAACGUUCCAGAGGAACUGGGUUCAAUUCCCAGGUUAUCUG
rnacentral:tRNA from 1 species